GGACAGAUGGCCGAGCGGUCUAAGGCGCCAGACUAAGGAGACUAGGCUAUUGGAUAGCCAGUACAAAUCUGGUCUCAUUGAGGCGUGAGUUCGAAUCUCACUCUGUUCA
rnacentral:tRNA from 1 species